GCGCGAAAACUUUACAAUGCUGGCAACAGCGAUAAGGGAACCUCGAGUGCCAGGUUACAAAUCUGGCUGUCGAGAUGCCUAAAAAGCAUUUCAUAGCAAGGGCCGGGCAAGACCGGUGCCAGCCGCCGCGGUAACACCGGCGGCUCGAGUGGUAACCGUUAUUAUUGGGUCUAAAGGGUCUGUAGCCGGCCGGAUAAGUCACUUGAGAAAGCUGGCAGCUUAACUGUCAGGCUUUCAGGGGAUACGGUCUGGCUCGAGGCCGGGAGAGGUGAGAGGUACUUCAGGGGUAGGGGUGAAAUCUUGUAAUCCUUGAAGGACCACCAGUGGCGAAGGCGUCUCACCAGAACGGACCUGACGGCAAGGGACGAAAGCUAGGGGCACGAACC
rnacentral:rRNA from 1 species